UUUUCGUAGGUGAACCUGCGGAGGGAUCAUUACUGAGUGAGGGCCUCCCCGGCCCGACCUCCAACCCUUUGUGAACACAACUUGUUGCUUCGGGGGCGACCCUGCCGUUUCGACGGCGAGCGCCCCCGGAGGCCUUCAAACACUGCAUCUUUGCGUCGGAGUAUUAGUAAAUCUAAUCAAAACUUUCAACAACGGAUCUCUUGGUUCUGGCAUCGAUGAAGAACGCAGC
rnacentral:misc_RNA from 1 species